AAGUGAAGAACCAAGGUUGAGAGAGAAUUUCAAUUCUGUUUAACAGAAUAAACCAGAGGAACCACACUGGCCGUUGUGGGAUGCGUGUACCUGUGAACUCCCUAUUCUUUUGUCUGGGAGCAGAGAUGGGACAAACCAACCACCCUGGGUCCCCAGAAGACCCAUUCUAUGAGUCUAGAGGUGGUUGGAGCAAAAGUUCGUCUGUGGCCCCUGAAAACACAAACACGAAGAUCGAGCCUUCAAAACUAUUUUUAGCAGAUGAACAUCGGACCAGGCGGGUUCUGGAGUGUUCCUGCAUUCACACAUACCUGCGGCCUGGUAUGUACAUCUGUCUCAGCAAAGGGCUCCCACCUGACACUGGGGUCCACGGGGUCAGGGGGCUGGGAAGGGUUCUGCCUUGCAGUCAGAGCACUCUUAGGUGAUGAGAACAGCUGUGUCCUCUCUGCCUGCUUUACAAAACCUGAGGCCUCAACGGGAUAUUGAGCUCAGGGAUGAUGGUAAAACAUAGCUCUGUGAUGUUGGUGUAGAGGGAGACACUGCCUGGUCCGGACGCCGGAUCACCUUAGUAAGCCAGUGCUCAAACUCGGAAAGUUGCAGCUGGUAGGUCCUAAGGGCCUCCCUAAGUGUAUGUCUAACCAGAUGGGGACAGCAGGGCCUUGUUCUGGGUUUUUAUAAUCUGCGGUCACCAACAUUUUCAAUUCCUUUGAAUUUCACAGGGUAUCAGAAGACGUGUGGCUGGGGCGCCUGUGUGGCUCAGUGGGUUAAAGCCUCUGCUUUCGGCUCAGGUCAUGAUCCCAGGGUCCUGGGAUCGAGCCCCACAUCAGGCUCUCUGCUCAGCGGGGAGCCUGCUUCCUCCUCUCUCUCUGCCUGCCUCUCUGCCUACUUGUGAUCUCUGUCAAAUAAAUAAAUAAAAUAUUUAAAAAAAAAAAAAAGAAGAUGUG
rnacentral:lncRNA from 1 species